CCACGAUCUCGUGCCACGUGGGUGAGGGCAGGUAGUGGUCACGCGCUCCGGGAGAGAAGGAUUCACCAGAGUCAGCACAAGAGGAGUCGGGGCGUAAUCUAAAUUAUUACUUUAUAAUGUAGCCUAUGGAACUUGAAUGUAACGUACAGCAAAACAAUUGUUUUUUUUAAAAAUAUUUGAGGCGGUGUCAUUGAAAAAUGACUCAAGCCACUUGACAAGCACAUUCCGAAGACGCCUGCAGGGGGCCAAGGGCUCUGCUGGUGAGAGACUGACACGUGGCUCUUUUCGGUUGGUUGGAUGGUGGCCUCAAGGCAUGUUGGGAAUGAUGGCCGGGUGGAGCUAGCUGCGGCUGCGCGAGGGUUGCUGACGAUUUGGGGAAGUUGAAGCUGAAAAAGGAAGUGUUUGGAAUGUUGGUGUGUUGGCCGGAAGUUUAUGGAAGAGUGGACCGUUCGUGUUUUCGGGGCGGGGCGGAGUAAGACUAACGUUGUGGUUUGAGCCGCCUGUCCUGUAAGGAGCCAGCACUUUGCGUCCUUGAUUAUUAUACCGUUUCUCGGUCCUAGCACAGUUUACUGUGGUUGAUAGAUGGUUUAAUAUAGUUGAAGAAUUCUGCCCCGUGGAAGAAGCAAUUUUAAUAUGGAUUAGAGUGAGGUAAUACUUGCAUUUUGGGAGAAGAAAUCCGGAGUGGAAAUAUGUCCACUCAGUGAAAGACUUGACACUUACGGAAGAACAGCAAGACCAGUCAGUGCUCUGUAAGUGCAACUGCAGGUGGAUCAAGCCAUUAGAAAGGCCAAUAUUUCUGGCAUCCGCAGUACUUUGCUUUUGUGUUAGGGAACAAAAUGUACUCUGGAUGGGUAACUUUGUCCAUUAUCAAGAGUGGCUCAAUAACACCACUACUGACUGAGUUCAUGGAAUCCUAAAGGAUAUAUAUAUCUGCCGGACUGAGCUUAAGACAGGUGAAAAGGAACCAAUGCAAGGAAGAACACUAGUUUACUUUUUCCUCCUCAAUCUACCUGUCGAUGGUGCAUCUAUCUAUUGUAUUGGUAAGAAUCCUCACAGUCUUUUUGGAGAUGAAGCCGCCCCUCCACGUUGAGGACGAAGGUAUUGUGGUGUGUUUCUCUAUAUUCCUAAAUGAGAUAAAUCCAGAACAGAUAUAACCGCUCAAUCAUCCAUGAGGCAUUGUAGGCCAGUAACAACUGUAUGGUAUUCAACCACAAUCUGUACCUAAUGGCCCAACAUAUCCCUCAUUCUACCAUUACCAUCAAGCCAAGGGAACAAGUUCUGAUGAAAGGUCACUGACUUGCAAUGGUAACCCUGUUUCUCUCUCCACAGAUGCUGCUAGAUCUGCCGAGUAUUUCCAGCAUUUUCAUGAACCAACCCUGGCUCACUGAGGAGUGGCAGGAGCAGCACCAGGCAUACCUUAAAAUGAGCAUUACCAUUGCUGAGCUCCCACCAUCAGCAUCUUCUGAAGGCCACCAUUGACCAGAAACUUUACUGGACCAGCCACAAGAAUGAUUCAGAGACUGCAAGGUCUGGAGUGGUUAACUCACCUCCCUGAUUCCCCAAAGCUUGUCCAUCGUCUACAAGGCACUAGUCAGGAGUGUGAUGGAAUAAUCUCCGCUUGCUUGGACAGCACCUUCCAAACCUGCAACCUCUAGCACCAAGAUGAACAAGGGCA